UCGUCGGCGCCAUUAAGGUCGAGGUUAUCGCAUAUAAUUUCAACAACGUCAAUUUUUCGAGCAUCAACUUAAAGCCCCAAGAUGGCAACCAGUCCGAUAACAGACAUGACCGCACAUCUUAAAGAUGGAAGACCCCUUGAUAGUACAAUAAUUAAAUCGCACCAUCCUUUGGUCCUGGAAAUGGAACUUUUUUAAUCUCACAAGUUUCGUCCGAAUACAGACUUAUGUAAUCGUACCUUAUUACUUUAUCCUGCUGCUAGGAUAAAACAACCAAAGAUCCUAACUGCAUUACUAAUUAUCCCUAUCAACCCCCGUAAUCAUAAGUUAACAGUCUCCACUUUAAGAACCUAAAUAACUUCUGACUGAUGACGCUUUCGUAAACGGUUCCUACAAAAGUAAUUAGUUCUUGCUUUCAAUCCCCUAGCUUCUGCUAGUCUAUGGCAGCAUCAGAAUUGGUAUUUGAUACGGCUGAUCCCUAGCCUACUACAAUUAAAAUAUUACUGAGU
rnacentral:rRNA from 1 species